rnacentral:rRNA from 2 species
GGUUAAGCGACUAAGCGUACACGGUGGAUGCCCUGGCAGUCAGAGGCGAUGAAGGACGUGCUAAUCUGCGAUAAGCGUCGGUAAGGUGAUAUGAACCGUUAUAACCGGCGAUUUCCGAAUGGGGAAACCCAGUGUGAUUCGUCACACUAUCAUUAACUGAAUCCAUAGGUUAAUGAGGCGAACCGGGGGAACUGAAACAUCUAAGUACCCCGAGGAAAAGAAAUCAACCGAGAUUCCCCCAGUAGCGGCGAGCGAACGGGGAGCAGCCCAGAGCCUGAAUCAGUGUGUGUGUUAGUGGAAGCGUCUGGAAAGGCGUGCGAUACAGGGUGACAGCCCCGUACACAAAAAUGCACAUACUGUGAGCUCGAUGAGUAGGGCGGGACACGUGGUAUCCUGUCUGAAUAUGGGGGGACCAUCCUCCAAGGCUAAAUACUCCUGACUGACCGAUAGUGAACCAGUACCGUGAGGGAAAGGCGAAAAGAACCCCGGCGAGGGGAGUGAAAAAGAACCUGAAACCGUGUACGUACAAGCAGUGGGAGCACGCUUAGGCGUGUGACUGCGUACCUUUUGUAUAAUGGGUCAGCGACUUAUAUUCUGUAGCAAGGUUAACCGAAUAGGGGAGCCGAAGGGAAACCGAGUCUUAACUGGGCGUUAAGUUGCAGGGUAUAGACCCGAAACCCGGUGAUCUAGCCAUGGGCAGGUUGAAGGUUGGGUAACACUAACUGGAGGACCGAACCGACUAAUGUUGAAAAAUUAGCGGAUGACUUGUGGCUGGGGGUGAAAGGCCAAUCAAACCGGGAGAUAGCUGGUUCUCCCCGAAAGCUAUUUAGGUAGCGCCUCGUGAAUUCAUCUCCGGGGGUAGAGCACUGUUUCGGCAAGGGGGUCAUCCCGACUUACCAACCCGAUGCAAACUGCGAAUACCGGAGAAUGUUAUCACGGGAGACACACGGCGGGUGCUAACGUCCGUCGUGAAGAGGGAA